rnacentral:rRNA from 1 species
UACGAAGGGGGCUAGCGUUGUUCGGAAUUACUGGGCGUAAAGCGUAUGCAGGCGGAUCGUUAAGUCGGGGGUGAAAUCCCGAGGCUCAACCUCGGAACUGCCUUCGAUACUGGCGACCUUCGAGUCCGGGAGAGGUGAGUGGAACUCCGAGUGUAGAGGUGAAAUUCGUAGAUAUUCGGAAGAACACCAGUGGCGAAGGCGGCUCACUGGCCCGGUACUGACGCUGAGAUACGAAAGCGUGGGGAGCAAACAGGAUUAGAUACCCUGGUAGUCCACGCUGUAAACGAUGGGUGCUAGCCGUUGGGCAGCAUGCUGUUCGGUGGCGCAGCUAACGCAUUAAGCACCCCGCCUGGGGAGUACGAUCGCAAGAUUAAA